CUUCCGUAGGUGAACCUGCGGAAGGAUCAUUACCAAUUUAAUCGGGGGACUUCGGUCCCUGUCUGAACCCUUGUCUUUUGCGUACUAGUUGUUUCCUCGGUAGGCUUGCCUGCCGGUUGGACAGUAAAAAAACCUUUUGUAAUUGCAAUCAGCGUCAGAAAAACAUAAUAGUUACAACUUUCAACAACGGAUCUCUUGGUUCUGGCAUCGAUGAAGAACGCAGCGAAAUGCGAAAAGUAGUGUGAAUUGCAGAAUUCAGUGAAUCAUCGAAUCUUUGAACGCACAUUGCGCCCCUUGGUAUUCCAUGGGGCAUGCCUGUUCGAGCGUCAUUUGUACCUUCAAGCUCUGCUUGGUGUUGGGUGUUUGUCCCCGCGUUAUGCGCGGACUCGCCUCAAAGCAAUUGGCAGCCGGCGUACUGGCCUUGGAGCGCAGCACAUUUUGCGCCCCUCAGCUUGAACGCUUGCGUCCAUUAAGCCUACAAUUUUUGCUCUUGACCUCGGAUCAGGUAGGGAUACCCGCUGAACUUAAGCAUAUCAAUAAGCGGAGGA
rnacentral:rRNA from 1 species